GGGGCUGUGGGGUAGCUUGGCUAGCCUUACUGGUUUGGGACCAGUCGACCCCGGUUCAAAUCCGGGCAGCCCCA
rnacentral:tRNA from 1 species